CAAUUUCUUAAAUAUUUGGAAUCCGUUGCGACACCAUCAACAAAUCCUAAUUCUUGACACACGAUCCUAACUUGCCAUGAUGUCAAUUCACAUAUGUAUCCCCAUUGGUCAUCAUGUUGUACCAUCAGCUGGCCUUCGUUACCGCUAGAUGAAUUUACCAAACGCACUUUGGGAUUGCUUGAAUUGAUCAGAUCCAGAAGACUGUAGUUUGGAAAACAGUUCUUCACGCAUUCAGUACCCUCUAAAACAUGUCAAUCGAUCAAU